GCGGCGGAAUGUUGCGUAAAGGGAAAGGUCGUAUUCAAACCCUUCAGCCACGCGAGCGCUAAGUCAGCCACGAAUUGGCUAUCCCGACUAACGGAAGGGUAUGACUCCACGGAGGGUGUAAGGCCCGUGUGGGCGCGUGUUAAAGCUGAAUGGGGAAGGCCUCUGUUCCCUGAGAGUCGCGUUGCUUUGGCAUGCAGCGCUAAGCAGGUCGUAAACUCGAUCUAAGGCUAAAUAUAUCCACAGGACCGAUAGCGAACAAGUACCGUGAGGGAAAGUUGAAAAGCACUCUGAAGAGAGAGUCAAAAGACCGUGAAACCGCUCAGAGUAUAAGCCCAUGGUGUUCGGAAGGCAUAUCGCAACGUAGAGGUUUCGUGGUACAGUAGGAAGGUCCUUCAGGUAUGGGCAUUGAGUUGACAUCCCGCCGACGCGCGGAGGGGAGCUCGGGCGUGAGACUACGGUGUAGCGUCCACUCUCCUUUGCCUCGCGGAAGGGCAAGGCACUGUAUCAGUUGUGGAAACUGCCCACCACGGCUCGUUGUGAGGUCACCCACAGGCUCAACUGUCGAUCGCGUGUUCACCUCGCUUUGAGGCGUCGUUAUGAGCUUCCCUCUUAAAAAAGUGGGGCCAGACGCGCUUAGCGAGGCUGUCUCCAAACGAACCGGGCGGCGACCGAGAUAAACCUGGUAUGAUCCUCGUGCGACGGCCGCUUUCUGGCCAGAAGUGCACCCAGGCUCCACCCAUGUGCCGGGUGGGGCUGCGUCAUCAGUCGGGCGGUUUGUUGUCCUCUGGCGAUUUCGGUGCAGCCAAGACCUCCGCAGGGUGUCAUUUCUGUGUG
rnacentral:rRNA from 1 species